GUUCGUGCGGGCGCGUCGGGUGCGGGAUGUGGUGCUCCGUUCAAAGGCCCUGAUUGUUGUUCGCCAAAGUGUGCUGUGCUGCGGCAAUCGCUGCAGGCUGUCGAGCAGAUUCACCGCUCGAAGUUGAAGCUCGCUAUCGAGGAGCCCGGCUAUGGGAUACACCCGGACUACCUAGCAUCGUCUCUCGACACGCCGCCGCUCGAGUGGGACACGCGCGCGCUCCUCUCCGGCCCCUCGCGAUCGCCUCGAAAGACGCCGCCGCCGCCGAGCAAUGGGGAAGCAGAACAUGUUUGUGUUCGUGGUCGCUGCUCUGGUCGUCGCGAACUUGUGGCACGCCGCCGAAGCGCAGAGCAGUGAACCCGGCUGCUCGGGCGUCAAGUACGCCUUCCAAGGGAAGGGAUUCGAAAACGACGUCCCUUCGCGGGCCAUCUCAGGUGAGCACCUCCAGAUCUGCGAGCGCUCCCUGACGUGCUGCACCCAGGAGAUGGAGCACCUGCUGAGCGCCCAAAGCCGGGAGGAGUUCGAGCGCGUGCUUCGAGACGAAAUCGGCAAAGUGCGCGCCAAGUUCGCCGCCCGCAUGCAGAGGUUCGACGAGUUCUUCAAGGAGUUGCUGAAGACGUCCAAGAAGGACUUCCACGGCAUGUUCCUGCGCACGUAUGGCAUGCAGUACGACACCAACUCCUACAUCUUCACCGACAUGUUCGACCAGCUGGAGAAGUACUACCGCACUGGCGGCGUCGACCUGGUGGACGCGCUGGACGGCUUCUUCCUCGAGCUGUACCGCAAGAUGUUCCAAGUGAUGAACACGCAGUACGCGCUGAGCGAGCGCUACCUGCAGUGCGUCAGCGACUACCGCGACGAGCUGCGUCCCUUCGGCGAUGUGCCCCAGAAGCUGACGCUCGAGGUGAAGCGCUCGUUCGUCGCAACACGCACCUUCGUUCAGGCGCUGGCCAUCGGGAGAGACGUCAUACAAAGCGUCAUGGAGGUUGGUCCUUCUGCCAACUGCAGCCAUGCACUGAUGAAGAUGAGCUACUGCCCACACUGUCACGGCCUGCCGAACCUGAAGCCCUGCUCCUCAUACUGCCACAGCGUCAUGCGUGGAUGCUUGGCCCACCACAUGGAACUCGACACCGAGUGGGGUUUAUUCAUUGAUGCCCUUAUGAACCUGGCAAACCGUUUAGAGAGUUCCUUCAACAUUGAGUCAGUUGUAAAUCCAAUAGGAGUGAAGAUAUCCGAAGCCAUCAUGGAUUUCCAAGAAAACAGGGCAACCAUUCUGCAAACGCUGUACGACAAGUGCGGGACGCUCCGCCUGGCUCGCCGUGCCAGUGGCCAGGAGCUGCACUUUGAGACGCUCAAGUUUGGAGGCACGGGCGGUGGCCAGCAGCCCGCUAUGAGACCGACCACGGCAGCAGGCACCAGCAUGGACCGUCUGGUGCAGGGCAUCAAGAAGCAGAUUCGUGCCACCCGCUCCAUGUGGUCCCAGUUGCCCGACCGCAUGUGCCGCCAGCCGUCGGCACAGUCACCGCCUCCCGAGGAGGAGUGCUGGGAUGGACUGAAUCGUGCAAAGUCUGAAGGGGGAAACCGCACAGUUGUGGGAGGCAAGACCCGAGGUCCACACCAGCACUUUCAGCAGCAAUCACACAACGGCCACAGGGGUGGCAGCACCGAGUACACAAGCAGCAACGUGGUUAUCAACCAGCUCAUACUCACUCUCAAGAUCAUCACCAACAAGCUGAACCUGGCUUACGGAGGGCACGAUGUCCAGUGGCAAGACACUGCUGACCUCGACGACAUGGGAAGCGGAAGUGGGAGCGGAAGCGGUGAAUACGAGUUCGAGCCAGCACCAACGUCGACGACCCCUGACAUUUUCUUCACCGGAUCGCUGCCAACAUCCGGCACAGCGCCCAAGCACCCCGUGACGCCGCACACCAGCUCGGCGCACCGCGUGCUGUGUGGUGCACCUAUAUGGCUCCUGGUCAUCGCUCUAUUGUUCAAGAAAUGCCUGAGCAGCAGCGUCUGACGUUCGUUCCUGAUCAUACACCUCUUCUUCUACUUGGCGGCUGCACUGCCUGCCUGCUGCUAGUGCCUGAGUGGGAAAUAGAAACAAAGAAGAAAAGAAAAAAAAGAGAGCCUUGUGCAACCGUGGUGCAAACGGACUACCGCGUUUCGAGUUGUCGUGCCUGUGAUGCAGCGUGGUUGAGACAUCUUCUAGACUUGUCGCGUAAAGCGUUUUGAAAGUGGCUCGGCGUGCGCAUAAGUCGUGCAGAUCCGUGGAAACGAUCGCACAUGGCGUGACGUACUCUCUCGCCCUGGUAUGACCCAGGGGUCAAAGUUUAGGUGUGGACACUUGUCAAAGGCGCGUGAUUGAGACUUGUGUGGCGAUGGAACUGACACGUGUCAAAAAGCUGGUUUUGCGUGAGAGACCUGCUCCUCUUCUUCUUCUUCGAUAUUUCCUUUGGAUGUGGACGCACGUCACAAAUGCACGUGUGUCGGGAAAAGAAACAGCGACGCCUGUCACAAGCUAUGAACGCUUCCAAAUUGAAUGACCUCCCUACGGUUUGUAAUCGUGGCUAGUUUUCGCUUGGACAGAUUGAAGACUGAAAAAGGGAUGUAUAGGUCAUGAUCAUGACAUUGGUGUGCUUAUUUAUCAGUAGCUGAAUAAGUAGCACACUGUGUAAAAGUGUUUUUUUUUUUUUUUCUUGUUUCUACUCGUAAUAUAUUCUGAAUCAAAAUUCAGAACCGCACCGUACAGCUUGUGUUAUAGCUACAUAGACUAGCGCCAUUUUUACAGGUUCACGUAACUGAAACACAUUUGUCAUCAUUGCUGUGGCUUUCUGCAACUUCUGGGUUAGCCGUGAGCGCUCACUUCACCGUGUCAUUCUGCUUGAGCAACUCCUCAACUGUUGUGCUUGGCAUAUGCCAAACUUUCACUCCGAAAGGGCUCCUGAACCAUUAUAUGGAGCACGGCGCUGGCAUGUGGUGGCACCCCAUGGCAAGAAGCGCAUCUUAUUGAAACGCCGCUGCUCUUGACUUGGGUUGGCUGUUGCCCAAUAGCACACUACCUGUUGUUCAUCAUCAAAUAGCAGGUGCCCGCCCAGCGAUGAAAGUGAGGACGGGCCUCCGUAUGAGGAGAGUGCGCUUGAGAAAAUGGUAACUUCGUGCUCCGCUUCUAACUCCCCUCGCACGCACGACUGCAAGAUUUGGCUGAGCUGUUCAUAGCAGCGUCUGCUUUCCACAGGAUGCGUUUUCUCACCAAGCCCAAGGUGUGGUUCACGACCCCUUUAAAUGCAGGGCUUUAACUACCUGUAGCAGUUGCUGUUUUUUUCUAAGUUAGACCAGCCUUAUGUUUGUUCCUUUUAACUGCACUUGAUUUUCCACCCUAGCCCUGAACAAAAGGAGGAUAUGUCUCGUGUUCUUUGGCGAUGCACUUCUAUUGCAUCUAAAAUGUAGGUGUGGAGGUCUAUCAGAUUCUUAUGUUGGCAUUUCUAGAAUGGCUGAACUGUAACUUCAUUCAUUAUUGUGCUGCAGUACAGCAGCAUUCUAUUCACGUAUAUAAUGAAGUCAUCACUUUCACUUAUGGCUAAUGGUGCCUGUCAUCUCUUAAAACAAGACUGUGGAAAUAGCUGACAUAUUUUUAUGGACAUGGUUUUUUUGCAGCCCCAUUGUGCAUUGAAAUUUUAGAAUUAAUCAUGGACGCUAAACUUCGAAAGCUAGCAGUUGCUGCUGAAGAAAUUCAUCCACUGAAACGUGCAGGGGAACAAUCUCUUGCUAAUUAUCAGUCCCUUAAUAUGAUUAAGUCUGACGAAAAUGUAAGGUUGCUUCCAGUGUUCAAGUAUUUAGAUGGAGGGCGAAACCCGACUGAUCUCAUGCAGUCGUUGUUAGCAUGUAGUGUGUAAUACUUUCAGCAUCAAUUUAAUGUUUGUUCACAAAAAGAGUUUGGGCAUUGAUACAUGAAGUUCACCACAAGUUGUCGUAAAGUCAUUUCUGUACCUCAUCGCUAAGACUUUGUGAAGCGGUUGCUUUCCAGCAUCUCGGUAAAAAACAACACUUCGUGAGCAUGGUUGCUUAAUUGAUCAUCAACGAUACUCCCUCAGCAACAUUAAUAUUAAUGUUCUCAUCGGUGUUACAUCACAGCAGUAAGGUUGGUGGAAAGGCCGGGGGAAAACAUUGCUCAGCAAGUUAUCGCUUGCAAUUCAAGGGCGAGGAUACAGCAUUCAGUGUAGAUUCGUUUCAUUAUUUUCAUAAAUAUUACAUGUGUAAACGCAUAAUGGACGCAUAAUGGUGUAAACGCAUAAUGGUCGUAAGACAACCCUGCAUGGCCUACAUACCAUACAUUUGAUAUGCGUUACAAUAAAUGAGUUGAAUCGAGUGAUGUAACGGGGGCGGUAUACACACCUUCAGUACUGGUACAAAGUUCUAAAUAUGUCACUGUUGGUUUUCCUAACAUGCGACUGAGGUGUUGGGGAAGCUUAAUAAUCAUGUAUGUAAGCACCAAUUGCUUUCAAAACAUUCAGAAUGUACUGUUUUUGGUCUGUGGAGAAGAAAGAUGGGAUGCAUACCAUAGUUGGUCACCAGGAUGUGUACAGUUGGUGCGAAGCAGCAUAGGUUUGUGCGCUCUUCACCUAAUGCAGCAUUUAUUUACAUUAGGGCAGCCUCAUCACUGUGUUUUCGUCUGCACUCUAAGCUAGGCUUAUUACAGCAAAACAGCUCGGAUGAUGGGACAAGUGAACAGAAGAGACGAUACGACGACUAUUAAUCGGUAGUUGGUUUAUUGCCUGGUCCACUAGCACAUCCUGUUGUCAGCGCUGUCUUACUUCAAUGAACGUAAACCAGCCAGCUCAGCUUCGGGAACCCUCGUGCUAGACUAGGCACUACACGAAGGUUUCAAGCACCUUUCAAGCUUACUGUUACUGGUUUCUAUUUACUUGUACUGAUUUAUCAGGAAGAGUACACUGAAUCAUAGUGUGCAGUAGUACACCGUAACCGAAUGUGACAAGACCGUGUCACCUUCCUGUGUUGGAACUUUGUGUUGCAAGUGGAACAUUGUCAACAACGAGCAUAGCGUCUAAAUGGCAGCACCGUUUGACGGCACACUUCUUUCACUGUCGUGGUUUAGCGGAAUAAUCUACUCAGCCACUACUCGAUCAUCACUUGCUAAUCUAAUCUAUGCGUCUUUGGUGCUCUACAAUGGGCACAUGAAAGUUUGGCCACCAUGCUUGUCUGCAACUGAUCAAUGAACCUGACCGAGCUGUUCUUUUUCAUCCAGAACAACAAUAGUUUAUACAAAAUGUCACCAACUAAAGUACAUAUCUGACUCAGUUCAUGUAAUAAUGCACUAUUUUAGUGCUUAUCGGAAGGUCUGCUUCUAUCAGUUACAAUGCACUCAAUUCUGCCAGUAUGACAAAAUAGGGUUCAAAUGCCUGUUAUUCGUAUCGUUUCAACAAAAAAAAAAAACAAUUCGCCUGUUCUAAUGUUAAAAAAGAAGUUAAGCGAAGGUAGAAGGCAUGUUGACAGUAAAAUUCUUCACAUUUUUGGAAUGUGACGUUCGUACAUAACAUUUCAUUGCCUCGACAGGCAUGUCAUGCAUCUCAUCUGUGCCUGUCUCUUUGCCCAAAACGUGCUUGUAAUGUGUUCAGACUUUUCAUUUCAAUGCGGCCCAAACGGUACUCAUUUUUAUCAGUAAUGAAAUAAGUGUUCAUUGAUGCAUUGGCUUCCUUUAGCCACAUAGCAUUUUGUAAAAGAGGUCACAGUUUUUGCUGAAUUUUCGGAGAUUUUUACUUGAUAAUGCAUCAUGUAGGUGCAAAUUUUUGUUUUUAAACUCGUGCUGUCACGGUAAGAUAGCUUUUAACGCAUCCGGUGAAUAAAUUAAUUCACGUAUGCUUCCUUUGUUCACGCACGUUUGCGUCCACAUUUCGCACAGAACACUGCACACAACUUCACAUGCUAGGCAUAUUUUCUACAUUUUAGUUUUUUUGCAUAGGACAGCCUUCCCAGUGAUGUAAUAUGCAACUACAGUUGAACUCCAAUUUAUAAUUAGGUUCAACUGUUAUUACUAUUUAUUGCUGUGCUUAGCAUCGUAUUAUUUCGACUGUAUUUUCGUUUGUUUAGUCACAUUCCUGGAGAAGUAAAUAAGCGGUAUUGUUAACCACUGUUUGUCCCCAUUGGAUAUUUUUCUUUGUCAAUAUUUUGACUUCUAUUACUUCAGUUUUUCCAGAAACACUGUGAAGGUAUUGCUUUUUUUUCUUGCUCCCAUUUUUUCUAAUAUGUUGGCAGUCUCAUGCAUUGUGUCAGCGUUGGCAUUUUCUAAUUGACUUAACUUAUGCUGGCAGCAAACAGAUGUGUUCAAAGUAGCACUGCAUCUAGCCACUUAGUUGUGUAGUCCACAUUUUGAUUAUUUAUUAAUCUAAAGCACUGUCACUGAUUUUGUAAUAUCCUCUCUAAUUACAGUUUUCUACUCAUUUUCGUGCUCGUAAUAAGGGCAAAUUCUGCCUUAUGUUAUUAUCGCGUGCAUGGUUGAUGCUGUAAAUCAACCAUAUUUUAGGCAGCAUAUGUGUUCGACGCGCUAUUUAUUAGGACUUGCAACAUCUUUCACGCUAGAGUACCUUCAUUCUUCGCAUAGGUUUAGUAAGCAUUUAAAGUUAGCAGUGUGUUAUUAUUGUUGUAACUGCAACUUUUAAGCUGUUGUAAAUGUUUGGUUUCUUUGUGUGCACAGGCGUGAAUGCUCAUGUUUUGUUUUGUGUGUAUUUAAAAAAGCAGCUCGGUGUUUACUUUGGCUUUGGCAAAAAUACACAAGUGAGGGCUAGCGGGAAAAAUAAAAGUCACUGAGUACAUUUAUUUUUGUUUGUUUGCACGGGCAAUGCUAGGUGUUCUCUAGAAGCUUGAAGUGUCACGAAAAGAAGUAUAUACGUAUGCGUGUUGACUGGACUGAUGAUGGUUGUGACUACUAACGUUUUAGCUAUACGUCGUUGGCACUGUUAACCUGUUCAUUUGUUCUUUCUCAUAUUUCAGUCUUUUUUUUUGUGCUUAUGUGUACUGUGUGGUAUGCUGCGUCUCGUAUGGUUUGUACUGAAGUGCCAAACGCGUGGCUGAACGAACGGCUCUCUGUGCUGUGAGCUACUUUGACCGAUGCUGACUUUAUUUGACCAUCAUUGUGUGUAUGUGUGAUCACUCUUUGCCGUAUGUAUGUGUACAUAUUUAUGUUCUAAAUGAAGAAAUCUAUUGCUUUUCAA
rnacentral:misc_RNA from 1 species